rnacentral:misc_RNA from 1 species
AACACUGUUAACCUGCGGUACCUGCGGAGGGAUCAUUACCGAGUGCGGACCCUCCGGGUCCAACCUCCCACCCGUGUCUACCGUACCUUGUUGCUUCAGCGGGCCCGCCACCACGGCCGCCCGGGGGCGCUCUGUCCCCAGGCCCGCGCCCGCUGAAGACCCCCUCUCGAACGCUGUCUGAAGGUUGCAGUCUGAGUGGAUUAUCUAAAUCGGUUAAAACUUUUAGCAAUGGAUCUCAGA